rnacentral:tRNA from 1 species
CAGGAGGUAGUUUAGUAAAAAUGUUAGUUUUGGGGACUAAAGAUGAGUAAUAUUACUUUCUCUUGA